rnacentral:rRNA from 1 species
UGGGGAAUAUUGCACAAUGGGCGAAAGCCUGAUGCAGCAACGCCGCGUGAGUGAUGAAGGCCUUCGGGUUGUAAAGCUCUGUCUUCUGGGACGAUAAUGACGGUACCAGAGGAGGAAGCCACGGCUAACUACGUGCCAGCAGCCGCGGUAAUACGUAGGCAGCGAGCGUUGUUCGGAGUUACUGGGCGUAAAGAGUGCGUAGGCGGCGAGCCAAGUUUGGUGUGAAAUCUCCCGGCUUAACCGGGAGGGUGCGCCGAAAACUGGUUGGCUGGAGUAUGGGAGAGGAAAGCGGAAUUCCUGGUGUAGCGGUGAAAUGCGUAGAUAUCAGGAGGAACACCUGCGGUGUAGACAGCUUUCUGGACCAAAACUGACGCUGAGGCACGAAAGCGUGGGUAGCAAACA